GCAGAACUUUGGGGGGGAAAAGAAACCAGUGUUUCUUCUGAGUAUCUUUUUUAAAGGAAAAAUUGAAUUAGAAAAACAAAAGAGGAAAUUUUCUUUCUGUGCAUCUUUAUUUAGGAGACCUGAAUGCACGUGGGGUUUGGGGUUUUUUUCCUGGUGUUUUUUCUUUUUUCUGUUUUUAAAUCUGGUUUUCUUUUUAGAGCAGACUCACAUUUUGUCUCUUCUUUCCUGGAGAAAAUGUUGGGAGAAUAGAGAGAAUGCACUACACGUUUACUGAAGCCAGAUCUAUAUUAGGUGUGCUUCUUUUUACUGCCAGUAGUUACUGCCAGUUUUGAUCCUGUGCUGCGUGCACUGGUGCCUGCUCCAGGAACAGCUUUUCUUAUCUAUGAUUUUUGCUUGUAGGACAGACCUUCCUUCCAUACGGGUGUGAGCUUAGCCAGGAGGUUUGUAAGUCUAUGCCACAGGUUUGGCUCCCUGAGCUGCCCUGUCUGAUGGGCUGCUGAAAAUUCAGAUUCGCAGUGUAAAAAGUGCAAACUACCAGUAGGGAAAUACAGAGUGCUUUAAAGAAUGUGUUUUACUCAAAAGUUUCUCAGAAGCUUUUCUUAAAUAGAAAGUGAACAGAAAGCCUGUAGUUUAAAGUUAUUUUGCCUUUGGCUAGAACGUCAGGCCCUAGAUUUCAUUUGAGUAGAAAGGAGAAUGUAUAAGCUUUCAACUUCACAAAAUGAAGAAGAUUGUCAACAGAGGCUGUACACAUAUAAAUGUUGUAUGUUUGUCCUUAUUCAAUUUCCUUUAGCAUGGUAUUAAAUUUUGCAUUUAAUUUGUUCCAAUUUCUAGGUUGAUGCCUGCAUUCAGUAGGAAAAUCCUAGAUGCUCAUUAGAGUUGUAAACGCAGGAAUGGACAUUGGAGUGUAUCAGAAGAUUUGAGCGGUUCUGGGUUUGAGCAAACAGUCUGAGUUGUGCCAUGGAAGAAAGCGAGUAACUGUACCCUGAACAAUCAUAAAUUAUCCCUGCAGAGGAAGGGAAACCUUAGCACGUCUUUCAGAUGUGUUUGCCUUUUUGAUCGUCGAUAGCCGGUUUGUCCCACUGGGCUGUGAGCGACUCUUGAUCUCCAAGAAUAAAAUUUCAGGAUACUAUGUGGUGUCACUGGAGAGCCAGAAGAGUCUGUGCAGCCAAACCGUGGCCAAGUACCUAAAAUGUCAAACUCUGUUGGCAUUCCCAAAGGCCUAAACAGUUUGAAUACCAGUACUUUAAAUUUUGUUUACCAAAGAAUCCGAUAGUGAAGCUUUUCAACCCUUCCUUAGAUUAUGUUCCCAAGUGUAUAAAAUAAGUAGUUUUAUGCUCCUGGAUACUCUGGUUUUCUUGUUUGUGGAUUGUGGAGAUAGAUACACAGAGUUGGGUAACUAUUAAAAUAACAACUGGCAGUUCUCCUGGCUCGGAAA